rnacentral:lncRNA from 1 species
CCUGAUAAACUUCUACUCAUCUUCUUCCUAGUUUCUCAAAAUCAGAUCGGAAGAGGAGAGAUUGUGUUCCUUUUAAUAUGCAAAUGCAGAUCUUCAUGAUACAAAUGCAUCUCCCCACAUUAUACAUAAUCCCAACCUGUACAACCUCCUUCUUCAACCUCCAGAUCCGGAAGUCUGGAAGCAGCGACGAACUCUUCAUCUUCUUCAACCUCCAGAUCUGUACACCAUCAUCCUCUUCAUCGGCUACUUUUUUCAACAGUCAUUGUAAGAGAAAACAAAAAAUUCGUGGAACUGUGAAAGGGAUAGAAAAAGAGAAGAAGAUUCCGAUCUUGCCAUUGUUGCCGGGUUUCCGUCUGACUCUUGUUAGAUUUAUCUUCUCCGAUUGUGUUGUGUAUUGAAAGAAUGGGUGGCUUGAAGAAUUUGGUUGUUGAUGAUGGAUUUAAAAGAGUAGAUCUGAUCGAUUUUGGCAAAAGAUACAGUUGUUUCGUAUGAUUUGAUUUUCUCUUCCGAUAUGUUUAAUUUUUUGUUUUUCUUUCUAAUUUUGUGAUAUACUAAAACAUUUAAAGACAUUUACUUUUUAGUAUAUUCCAAUUGUAACAAAUAUUAUUUGUAACUUGUUUUAAAUUUGUUGGGAUGGAUCAGAUAUUUAUUGGAUGGGUCGGAUCUUCGUUUUC